ACAAGAAUUACUCCUCCCGAAUUGCUUAUCACUGUUUACGUAUAACAUAUAAAGAAUCCGCUUCGACAUUCUCUCAGACAGGUGAUCGGCGACGCUGGAAAUGGCGAAUGGAAGCGGCGGUGGCGACGGCGACGCUAGGGAUUUGGGACGAAGAAGGAUGCAGUAAGAGCAUUCUCCAGGAGUGGCAGCUCCAAUCUCGAACUGUCUUUCGGACCGCCUUCGUCCCCUCCCAAAACCCUAACCCUGAAACCCUCGUCGUCGCGCCUCCAGCGACGGUUCCAUCGCCACCCUCUCAGUGAGCUUAUGCUCACUCGAUGAGAGAAGACAAAAGUAAGGGCAGAAGGGAAUGGAAAAGAGUAGAAGGAAAGAUCAAUAUCGAUUUCCUUCUUUGUUAAUGCAAAAAUUCCUAGAACCUCUAUUUGACCAUGCAAUAUGGGUCUUGCCGGAUGCCAAUUGAGGGUAUUGACAUUGGAUUUACAUUUGGACAUCUUUGUCUGUAUCCGGCACAUCUGCAAGUAUCUAAUCACCAGCGAUAUUGUGAUGAUGCUCAUGAUUUUCUAUUUGACCGUUUUUGUGUUUUGUGGUUGGAUAGUGUUUGGUAAAAACAAACAUGAAAUCAUCUCAACAUGCGAGGACAGGAAGUAUCCAGCGACAUUUCUUGCAUUGAUGGCAUUGCCCUUUUCUAAAGCAGGUGGAUAGGGUCUUCAACCAAAAUGUCAGGAUUAUAUGUGGCCCUUUACUGGCGGAGCCAUGUUGUAUCAUUUGGGACACAAGGGCUCUGCAUCUGGUUAACACGGAUCCCAUAUUGGUAUGAACCUGAAUGCAAAAAUGAGAUUGGUACACAUGUUAGUUGUUUCAUUUUUCUGAUUGGUUUGCUUUGUUUGUUAAAAAGAGCAUCACUUGGUUGGUUGUGUACGUUAAUUUAUCUUAAACCGUGAGAUGCAAUUUUACUUAGAUGGUAUACACCAACUGGUACUUACUGAUUCGAGAAUGAACCGACAUGCAGAUUGUCCGAUAUCAAACGGUCCACAAGUGGUCUUGUACCACAUAGGAACCACCAAAAUGGGGCAGUCCACAUGUGGGUAGGUUGUACAUAGUGACCCUCCCCCAAGCCCCAUCUUGGUAGGAGCCUAUUGUAUCUAACAUCCAUCCUUUACAAAUACAAUAAAUACUUGAAAGAUUUAUGUUUCAUAGGUCAUACAUGUGUCUUAGAGUAUGUUAUGAAGUAUCCAACAAGUGUCAUAGGUGUACCUUUGACCACACACAAACUCUACAUUGGAUGGAGCCUCAAGUUCUGGGUUGCAUUUUCAGUUUCUUUGAAAAGUGGUGCCAAAACAAUUUUCUGGGUUGAAAUUCAGAGAAACAAUAUAUCAGGUUAAACUUAGCGCUAUCUCAGAAUGAUUUUAAAGUAUUUCAGGAUGUUAUAAUUAUCUAGUAAAUAAUUAAUGCUGCUAGUGGAUGUCAAUGAGUUCCUUUUUUCUGGAAUAUUCUGCUUCAAUAUGUAUCUCCCUUAAGAAUAUACUAGUUUUGUUUGGAUUCAUUAAUUCACACUAAAGUAGUAUAUGGCACGCAUCUUGUUUUACUUCUGAACUGUGCUGCAAUCUUUCCUUUUUAAAUAACAAAAAUCGUAGUCUUCUGUAUUAGAUUUCCCCUUUGAGGCUUGUGAUACUGGUUCCAGGUUAUCAGUUUGGAAUCUGCUAUCUUGUGAAUGUGUUUGUAGUAUAAACAGUCAUGCACGGUGCAAGAUUUACUGAUUGAUGAUGACCAAGUAAGUUCAUGCAACUAUAGAUAUAUGCUCAAACUGACACAUCGUUCGCCUUUUACCCCAUAUCUAUCAUGAGACACCUGCCAAGAGAAUGAAUUCCCUAUUGCUGUGUGCUUGCUUGACCACUGGUCUACCAUCGAAGAUUCUUGCUACUGCUUGGAUUGCUGCUGACGCUGGUCUUCUCCUAUCUGUGUGUCUGAUCCGUUGAUCAUUCCUGCCUGAAUAUGCCACCACAAUUGGGUGGUCUCAUUGAGGUGGCACACAAAAGCCUCAUCCGGAGAAAAUCCUGCAUGCCAUUCACAACAUGAACCACGGUCUGCACACCACCAGUUUCAAUGGAGUUACUCGACAAAUGGAAUUGGCUCCUCAUUCGGCAUUUUCUGUUUCCCUUUGCCCUCCUGGAGUUACAGACAUGGUGGCCAUGGAGCGAGCAAUGUCUAUAAGGUAUUCAUUCAGGUUACAGACAUCGGUGUGGCCAUGGAGCUCCUCUGGGGGAUGCCCUUACGCUUAUCACAAUAUAGCUUGGAUAAGUAAACAUGACAAAUGACACUUUCAGAAUCCUAUCCUCUGGUUGGUCAUUUUACCAAAAGUCUAGACUUUUGGAUUCCUUUGUGUGGAACCCAAUCACAUUGGCAACUUCUAAUAAGAUUGCCACCAUUUGGACA